GUUCCACAUGCCUGUGUCUAUGAAGCUGUUCUCAUAUGAAGGGCGCCUAGAGCCAGGCAUUAUCAGGGGAACUGUAUCAGAGUGCAGGAUGGGCCCCAGCAGGAGAGCUGACACUGAGGAGACGGUUCCUUAGCAGAUGCUCGGCCGAACCUCAGCUGUUCUCUCCAGUGACAUCCGUGUGACAUGGAGAUAUUUAUUCAGGUGUUCAAUCAACAUGGUAUAUUUUCAGAAUUAUAUGCUAUCCCUCGUUAGAAAUGACAACAGAGACCACACUGGGGACGUUGUGAAUGUGAAGAUCAGGCCCAGCAGUGACUCCAUCGUCAGCAUCCCCCUGCAGACUGCAGUCUCCUGUGCUGUAGGCAGUGACUUCUGCUCUGGACUCUUUCAGAGCACUUCGAUAUCACCCAACUGAGAGGCCACCGGAGGACAGAAAUCCAACUUCGGGGGAGAGAGGCAGAGGAAGGCCACUUGAGUUGUAGAAAGAACAGGCUUCUGUACAAUGUGUGUCGCUUCAAGCCUCCCUACUAAGGGCCUGAGCCAUGGGCCAGCAGCAGCCACAACAGUAGCAUGGCCUGGGAGCUUGCCAGAGUGCAGUAUCUCGGGCCCCCCACCCCAGGCCUGUGAGAUUCUGCCUUUUAUCAAAACUCCCAGGUGAUUUUUAUGAACACUGCGAUUUGAGAAGCACUUCUCUAAAGGCACUAAAUGAUAGAGAUUUUACUUUAAAAGAUGAAGGGCCCUUGGGAACCCCUGAGAAGGUCACUUCACUUGAAGAGUCUAUGGUGGGGUGGAUUGCCACUUUAACCACGCUCCAAUCUCCCACCCAAACAAACUCUCCGCUAAAAGUUCAAAUGAGUCCCCUCCUGCUUAUCCUCUAGUAAGCUUCCAGGACUAAAAGGACCCAGGUCAGGGGGCCACCCCUUCACCAUAUCUGUGCCUUGAACAUCUUAACCAGCUCUUGAGAAUGUAACCAAAUCCUGCUGGCUCUCUGCCUAUAUGGAGAAAUGAAUUCUGCCCUUGAGGGGCUCCCACUCUAAUGGGAUGCUACUGGAGGCAGAGGGAUGAGUGAGAAAAGUCAGGGACUCCUUGGCCCACACCAGUGACAGAUUGAUCAGAAGACCAACCUUGGAAAGGCCUCCCAUCUCCAGGGAGGAGGGAGCCUCCAUCUGGGUGGGAAGGCUCCAUUAUGUAGCAUCCUGACAUGGGCCAAGAGCCAGCUUCCAAGGCUGUCUGUGCAUUAAAGAGAACUUAACCUGCCAAGAGGGUUAAGUGCCACCUUGAUUUAUUAUUCUGCUCAGCAAGAGUUUGUCCAUUUUUUUGGUCAUUUAUUUUGUCAAAAAGUUAAGUUUGGGUAUAAUGAAAUGUCAGCUUCAAGACAGUCACUAAACAGCCUGAGACUCUCUAUGUUGUUCAGCACCGGCACUUCUUUUUAAGAGCCUGGUGGAGAGAAGAUGUUGGGCUCCUGCUUCACCACAUGGUGCCUGAAACAAGGUGGAGCAGAUAGUAGCAGACUGAAGACUUCUGUCCUUCCAUUCCAGACUCUGAGACUAACGGUCGUUAAUUCUGGGACAUUGAAGGAGACCAGACCAGGACGUAAAUGUCAUCAAUGAGCCCCGUAGCUGGCCCUGGUCUGACUUGGUACCCUGGUGAUGGACAAAACCCUGCAAACUUCACAACAGUGUCUUGACACUGCGGCUGGCCCACAACUUUGACUGCUCUCCCCUGACCCUCAGCUCCAGCAUGUGAAAUGCCCUGUCUCACCCAUUCCUGCUCCCUUUUAGCUUUGGUUGGUAAAAUAAGAACCUGGAAAAAGAGCAGGAAGGGGAAUAGGGAAGCAAGCAUUUCUCCCUCUCUGUAGGCAUGAUUUUUUUAAGACUUGGUAAUGAUGUCAUUCAUCAGCUCAUCUGAUGGGGAUGCGGUGUUGGAAGGUGACAUGGGAGAGGUGGGCUGGGGUUAGACUAAAUCUGGAAGAGUCAAGAAGAGGCAGCUGGGGUCAAGAGACCAUGAGCAUCAUUUUGAAAAGUUCAUUUGAAGUUCUGGUAUAAGUGUUUAAAUGUAAGUUUGCUAUUUAAAAAAAAUCACAUAAGCAAAAUAUGCUCAAUGUUUAAAAAUAAGAAAAUAAAAAUUCAAAAGAUCAAAUAUCA
ensembl:lncRNA